UUCAGGGGGAGAUUGUUGGCAAGAUUUUCGUACCGUACCAUAAAAGUGUUCUCGGGGUUGAACAACCUUGCCUCCUGUGCCUCUAGGGGACCUCAGUGAAAUCUCGUUACUAGCAAAUCCAUUGCGAGGAUCUAAAAAAAUGUAUUUACAUAUUAAAGCUCCAAUCAAUGCGAGAAUAGUUCCAAAAAUGGAUGACACAAUUACAGCUAAAAGAUGAGCAUCGGUGAAUACUGUCUGGACGCUGGGCAGCUCUACACGACCCAAUUCAUUUUUAAUCUCUACAAAGUCUAAUGUUUUAAAAUAAAACUCCUUGUGAGUGGACCCGGCAUUGUUGUGGGCAGUCAUUCGUAAGUUAUAUGCAGUUCCGGGGUCUAAGUCACCUAUAUUGUAUCUUGCCUAAUGGUAGAAAAUUCAAUUUAAUUUUAUCAUCAUACAAAUUUGUGUUUUAUA